UUAAUUGAAGAGUUUGAUCAUGGCUCAGAUUGAACGCUGGCGGCAGGCCUAACACAUGCAAGUCGAGCGGCAGCACAGAGGAACUUGUUCCUUGGGUGGCGAGCGGCGGACGGGUGAGUAAUGCCUGGGAAAUUGCCCGGUAGAGGGGGGAUAACCAUUGGAAACGAUGGCUAAUACCGCAUAACCUCGCAAGAGCAAAGCAGGGGACCUUCGGGCCUUGCGCUACCGGAUAUGCCCAGGUGGGAUUAGCUAGUUGGUGAGGUAAGGGCUCACCAAGGCGACGAUCCCUAGCUGGUCUGAGAGGAUGAUCAGCCACACUGGAACUGAGACACGGUCCAGACUCCUACGGGAGGCAGCAGUGGGGAAUAUUGCACAAUGGGCGCAAGCCUGAUGCAGCCAUGCCGCGUGUAUGAAGAAGGCCUUCGGGUUGUAAAGUACUUUCAGUAGGGAGGAA
rnacentral:rRNA from 1 species